rnacentral:rRNA from 2 species
UUAAGCGACUAAGCGUACACGGUGGAUGCCCUGGCAGUCAGAGGCGAUGAAGGACGUGCUAAUCUGCGAUAAGCGUCGGUGAGGUGAUAUGAACCGUUAUAACCGGCGAUUUCCGAAUGGGGAAACCCAGUGUGUUUCGACACACUAUCAUUAACUGAAUCCAUAGGUUAAUGAGGCGAACCGGGGGAACUGAAACAUCUAAGUACCCCGAGGAAAAGAAAUCAACCGAGAUUCCCCCAGUAGCGGCGAGCGAACGGGGAGGAGCCCAGAGCCUGAAUCAGUGUGUGUGUUAGUGGAAGCGUCUGGAAAGGCGCGCGAUACAGGGUGACAGCCCCGUACACAAAAAUGCACAUACUGUGAGCUCGAUGAGUAGGGCGGGACACGUGGUAUCCUGUCUGAAUAUGGGGGGACCAUCCUCCAAGGCUAAAUACUCCUGACUGACCGAUAGUGAACCAGUACCGUGAGGGAAAGGCGAAAAGAACCCCGGCGAGGGGAGUGAAAAAGAACCUGAAACCGUGUACGUACAAGCAGUGGGAGCCUCUUAAUGGGGUGACUGCGUACCUUUUGUAUAAUGGGUCAGCGACUUAUAUUCUGUAGCAAGGUUAACCGAAUAGGGGAGCCGAAGGGAAACCGAGUCUUAACUGGGCGUUAAGUUGCAGGGUAUAGACCCGAAACCCGGUGAUCUAGCCAUGGGCAGGUUGAAGGUUGGGUAACACUAACUGGAGGACCGAACCGACUAAUGUUGAAAAAUUAGCGGAUGACUUGUGGCUGGGGGUGAAAGGCCAAUCAAACCGGGAGAUAGCUGGUUCUCCCCGAAAGCUAUUUAGGUAGCGCCUCGUGAAUUCAUCUCCGGGGGUAGAGCACUGUUUCGGCAAGGGGGUCAUCCCGACUUACCAACCCGAUGCAAACUGCGAAUACCGGAGAAUGUUAUCACGGGAGACACACGGCGGGUGCUAACGUCCGUCGUGAAGAGGGAAACAACCCAGACCGCCAGCUAAGGUCCCAAAGUCAUGGUUAAGUGGGAAACGAUGUGGGAAGGCCCAGACAGCCAGGAUGUUGGCUUAGAAGCAGCCAUCAUUUAAAGAAAGCGUAAUAGCUCACUGGUCGAGUCGGCCUGCGCGGAAGAUGUAACGGGGCUAAACCAUGCACCGAAGCUGCGGCAGCGACACUAUGUGUUGUUGGGUAGGGGAGCGUUCUGUAAGCCUGUGAAGGUGUGCUGUGAGGCAUGCUGGAGGUAUCAGAAGUGCGAAUGCUGACAUAAGUAACGAUAAAGCGGGUGAAAAGCCCGCUCGCCGGAAGACCAAGGGUUCCUGUCCAACGUUAAUCGGGGCAGGGUGAGUCGACCCCUAAGGCGAGGCCGAAAGGCGUAGUCGAUGGGAAACAGGUUAAUAUUCCUGUACUUGGUGUUACUGCGAAGGGGGGACGGAGAAGGCUAUGUUGGCCGGGCGACGGUUGUCCCGGUUUAAGCGUGUAGGCUGGUUUUCCAGGCAAAUCCGGAAAACCAAGGCUGAGGCGUGAUGACGAGGCACUACGGUGCUGAAGCGACAAAUGCCCUGCUUCCAGGAAAAGCCUCUAAGCAUCAGGUAACAUUAAAUCGUACCCCAAACCGACACAGGUGGUCAGGUAGAGAAUACCAAGGCGCUUGAGAGAACUCGGGUGAAGGAACUAGGCAAAAUGGUGCCGUAACUUCGGGAGAAGGCACGCUGAUAUGUAGGUGAAGCGACUUGCUCGUGGAGCUGAAAUCAGUCGAAGAUACCAGCUGGCUGCAACUGUUUAUUAAAAACACAGCACUGUGCAAACACGAAAGUGGACGUAUACGGUGUGACGCCUGCCCGGUGCCGGAAGGUUAAUUGAUGGGGUUAGCGGUAACGCGAAGCUCUUGAUCGAAGCCCCGGUAAACGGCGGCCGUAACUAUAACGGUCCUAAGGUAGCGAAAUUCCUUGUCGGGUAAGUUCCGACCUGCACGAAUGGCGUAAUGAUGGCCAGGCUGUCUCCACCCGAGACUCAGUGAAAUUGAACUCGCUGUGAAGAUGCAGUGUACCCGCGGCAAGACGGAAAGACCCCGUGAACCUUUACUAUAGCUUGACACUGAACAUUGAGCCUUGAUGUGUAGGAUAGGUGGGAGGCUUUGAAGUGUGGACGCCAGUCUGCAUGGAGCCGACCUUGAAAUACCACCCUUUAAUGUUUGAUGUUCUAACGUUGGCCCGUAAUCCGGGUUGCGGACAGUGUCUGGUGGGUAGUUUGACUGGGGCGGUCUCCUCCUAAAGAGUAACGGAGGAGCACGAAGGUUGGCUAAUCCUGGUCGGACAUCAGGAGGUUAGUGCAAUGGCAUAAGCCAGCUUGACUGCGAGCGUGACGGCGCGAGCAGGUGCGAAAGCAGGUCAUAGUGAUCCGGUGGUUCUGAAUGGAAGGGCCAUCGCUCAACGGAUAAAAGGUACUCCGGGGAUAACAGGCUGAUACCGCCCAAGAGUUCAUAUCGACGGCGGUGUUUGGCACCUCGAUGUCGGCUCAUCACAUCCUGGGGCUGAAGUAGGUCCCAAGGGUAUGGCUGUUCGCCAUUUAAAGUGGUACGCGAGCUGGGUUUAGAACGUCGUGAGACAGUUCGGUCCCUAUCUGCCGUGGGCGCUGGAGAACUGAGGGGGGCUGCUCCUAGUACGAGAGGACCGGAGUGGACGCAUCACUGGUGUUCGGGUUGUCAUGCCAAUGGCACUGCCCGGUAGCUAAAUGCGGAAGAGAUAAGUGCUGAAAGCAUCUAAGCACGAAACUUGCCCCGAGAUGAGUUCUCCCUGACUCCUUGAGGGUCCUGAAGGAACGUUGAAGACGACGACGUUGAUAGGCCGGGUGUGUAAGCGCAGCGAUGCGUUGAGCUAACCGGUACUAAUGAACCGUGAGGCUUAACCUU